rnacentral:rRNA from 1 species
AGAGUUUGAUCAUGGCUCAGGACGAACGCUGGCGGCGUGCUUAACACAUGCAAGUCACGGGGGGUAGUAAUACCAACCGGCGAACGGGUGCGUAACACGUGAGCAACCUACCGAUUUGCGGGGGAUAGCCGGCCCAACGGCCGGGUAAUACCGCAUACGCUCUCCGAGGGACAUCCCUUGGUGAGGAAACCUCCGGGGCAGAUCGAGAGGCUCGCGGCCUAUCAGCUAGUUGGCGAGGUCACGGCUCACCAAGGCGACGACGGGUAGCUGGUCUGAGAGGAUGGCCAGCCACAUUGGGACUGAGAAACGGCCCAGACUCCUACGGGAGGCAGCAGUGGGGAAUCUUGCGCAAUGCGCGAAAGCGUGACGCAGCAACGCCGCGUGGGGGAAGAAGGCCUUCGGGUUGUAAACCCCUUUCAGGAGGGACGAAGGUCGGGCGGUGAAUAGCCGACCCGACUGACGGUACCUCCAGAAGAAGCCCCGGCUAACUACGUGCCAGCAGCGGCGGUAAUUC